rnacentral:misc_RNA from 1 species
UCGUUGGCCUACAUCGCCGUGCAGUACAUCCACGCACCUGUGCGCAUGGAGACCUACCGUCACACGUUCACGCAUGCUCAUAAACACGGACACCCAGGCAUCGGCAGCUUGCGGUACUCAGCCUCUCGACACAGGGCUCGAAACCAUCUUGCCCUCUUGCGUCCACUCGUCCUCUGUUUCCCAUUCAUGUACGCAUUGGUGGGCCGUCGCGGCACUGUAGGUAGUUCGAAUCGACGUCGCAAACUCUCCGGAUGCCGUUUUUCCAAUUGUGCUCCGCCGCCACAGACUCACGCGCGACUUGCGAUAAAGCGCCAAAGGUGCUCUUGACGAUACCGACUGCCGUCGGUAACUGUGGACCCAAAUGUGUGGAAUCUGCAAGCGUCACCAGUGGCGACGUAAACUGGUCGCCACUCAGCAUUCUACACGUGUUUCAUCUUGCCCAUGUCGCCAUUACGGCCGAUACCGGUGUCUCCCCGUGCGUCGAGGAGAUGAGCACGGCAGAGUUGGCGACCAGUGUACGACGCGUACUUUGCAUGGGGCAGUCUAAGAGCUGCAGCUCUGCUUCUACCGCUUCCAACCAGGAAGCAUCAGCGCCGUACGUCGCUCGCGCACUUUUAGUUCGACUGCAUGGGCUUGUGGAGGCGCAUGAGCGCUUCUUGACCUGGAUGCGUACACGCUCAAUGGCAGCGGUUCCAGGGGCAUUGGAUGGCGUGGUAGGAGAGGACGCCUUUUUGGCAGAUGCAGUGACUUUUCUUCGUACGUUGCCGCUACCCGAUGCACUUCAGAGAGCCGCGCCUUCACCACCAGCGACAGAGCGACGCGCGCCGUCGUGGCGGUCUUCCUACGCUCAGCUGCUCAGCGCCAACCUCUACGCCAUCAGCACCUUUGUGGAGGCUGCGGUAGUCGCGGCAACGGUUACGUCGCCACCCGCACCCGACUCCCCAUCGCCGACACUUCACCGCGAGCCCUGCUUCCUUCCUCCGCCGCUAGAGAGGGCUGCGCUGUCGCUGCUCUACUACCUGAUAACACUGACAGUGGACGUGGUGGAGACCAGCGUGCGGUGCUGCUGCCGACUAGAAGGGCUUCCCUCGGCUCACGAGGAUGACAGGCAGCUAGUGUGUUUCCCGCAGGGUCUCGCUGCUUUCUCCGCCACGUCGAAGCCUGGUGCCCAGUUCACUGCUUCACCUUCAUCUUGCCAUGCUACCCCAUCUCUCCGUGUCGUCUUGCACACAGUCCUUCAGCAAGAGGGCUCCCACUUGUUGGCGCUCCUCCUUCGAUGUGAGCCACGCGAAGGACAGUGCCCGGGCGAGAUGUCCGACGCGGACCCGACACAUCGUCGGCUGCUUACGCGACACCUGUUGCGCCGGCUUGGGCAUCUCUUUUUCCACCCUCUGCGCGGCGAUCGUACCCGCGCUGGCGUCACGAGUUACACCACAGCCGUGGCCGCAAGCGACCGCACUGACGCGGCACUCGUCACUUGGAUGGCAGACCGGCUGCAGCGCGUUGUGUGCUUGAGCGUCCCCACGACGGACGGUGAAGGGACAGGAAGCACUUCCCGAGGCUUUUCCGCUGCGCUUGCUGGCGAAGAAUAUCGACCAUGCAGCUUCGAGGCUGAAAUUCUUGCUGAGCUUCUUCGCUUGCUUAUUGCUCAGAUUGAUGCGGAUGCAUCAGCAUCGCCAUCAGGCGGAGCACCCGAGCGCGAGUGCUCCAACAGCGCCGUCUGUAGCAGCAGUGGCAUUGCCCGACGCACUUCGGCUACAGCAGACGCUGCCACUGACUUGUCGCGGCGAAUAGGAUAUCUGGUUCUUCCGCCUCCAGCCAUCGAGGCUGCCUUGGCGCUAGGUAGUGGCACGCUCUCGCGCUGUCCGGCACGAGAGAGAUUGUUGAAAGCACGGGAGUGCGUGAUGCGCUUUUCGCUGAAUCCUACCAUGCAGUGACGCGAGGGCGUGUGCCGUAAAGAAAGGGGUGUGCAUGUGUGUGGUGGUGGUGGUGGUGGCAGUGGCGCCGAAAUGUGUGUGUGCCACCCUCGGCGGUGUGAGAUCACGGGGGAAAAGAUGAAGUGCAGGAGCGGGGACCACACCGCUACAAGGCUUUUUAGCGGUUCGCUAUGCCGCAUCGCCGCCUCUGUGCCCUUGAGCGGUUUCUUUGUCUCGCUCCCACGCUUCCUUGCUUGCUGUUCUUGUCGGCUCUCUUCCACGCCCAUAUGCCGGCCCCUUACGUCGCUUCUCCUGCACUGCACGCUUGCACGGCGCACACGCGCGCACGAUUGCGUUUUUGUCUGUCUGCACUUCAGCUCGCGUGCCGCAGCUGCCUUACUUGGCGAAUUCAUCUGCUACGACUGCUAUUAUUACGUUUUCUGCUCGCUCUAGGUUGGUUUCGUGUUACUUGUACAUCCUGCUGACCAUGCAGAGUUUCCUUACC